UCUUCCAAAAAUAAACCAAAACUGGGCAUGACUAUAUUUGUUAAUUUACUCUCAUUUUUCCUGUCAUGGAAAAUCUACCAUCCAUCCUUUCUGAUAUAUUCUUUGAAGAGUCCAAUAAGUAUAAAAUACUUUGAUAGAUUAACUUCAAUUUCUUUUUUUUUAUACAAGUUUUAUUAAUUUUUCAAAUGUUUACAUCCAAGUACUUAGGAAGCAGCGUGGUGAUAGGGUAGUCAAUAAUCCAAUAACAAAACCAUUCAUGUAUAUCUCAGGUUGCAUUAAUAAAAGUUCCCUCUCUAUUUCCCACAAAUAUUAUAUCAUAUUCAUAUUUAUAGAUUUCUAGCUGAAGCUCAAUCAAUCAAUACAUUUGUGAAUAACAUUUUGGUUAUACAUAUCCAUGUCCUGUUUUUAGGUUUUAUUUAAUUCCAAUUAACAUAUUCCAAUUUAGCCUUUUAUCACCAAUGUUUAAACUUCGGAUAACCUUAAUUUCUCUCAUUUCAUUAUAAGAUAAUUAACGUAACUAAAAUACACAUAUUAUUCCAAAAUUUACCUACUUCUUUAUUUACAGAUAUAUUCUGUUUCUCAUCCUGGUAACUCCUCAUUUAAUAACAAAAUAUCUUUCAUUGUUACAAAUCUAUUUCCAUAUAACAAUUAAAGUUAUAAUCUAACAGUUAGUUUUAAUUCCCAUUAUAAAUCUAAAUCUAAAUCCUAAAUAUUAAAGCACUCAUUGUCUCUAAAAAGGUGCUUAACCCAUUAGGUGGAUUUCUAAAUCACAUUUUUAAAUUUAACUUUGGCUUUCUUUUUGUGCCAGGCCAUGCCAGUGCCUCUAAAACCUCGGAUGUGUCUCUCAUCAUUCCCACACCUGUUGUUUGAAUCAAGGGAGAACAUCUAGUUACCAGUCUUUCAAAAGAACUGACCUCUUUGUAGUUAUUAGGCUGUUGCCCAAUAAUUCAAAUCUCCAUGUUUGGUUUGAAAUGUUUAUCAUCGGUUCAGUCUGGUCCUCUUCUUCUUCUUGCAGUUCCAUCUGAGUAAAAUAAAAGGUCAUAUCUGGUGUUGUAAUUGUUGUUUGGUUGUCUAAAUUGUCUAAGUUCUCAAUGUAGCAUGUUUGUUGAUCAAUUCCUGUUGCUUUUGGAGUUACAGGUACUAUAAUUAAAGUCAGUGGUUGAAUAUCAGGGUUCUCAGUAGAUUGUACAUGUUGUAUAAAAUCCUCUUUGAUGUUAAAUUGUUCCUCUUCUGUUAUUUUUUGGCUUGUAGGUUGAUCGGUUUGAGUCUGGGGUUCAAUUUAUAGUUUUGUGAAAAUAUCAUUGGCUUUCACUCCUGAAUUCAUUAACUCAGUAGCUUCAAGGAUUUUUUCAAGGUAAGUUUAUAAUCAAGUUGUGGAUAGGGUUCCUCCAUUUCUAUGGUGAUUAGAGAUAGUCCUUUAGUGGAGGCUAUUUUUAGUGAGAGUCAGCCAUUGUCUACCUCCACACUUUGUAAAAAUAAUUGUCACCACCCAGCUGUUUCCACUUCUUAUCUUUUUUGAUAAUAUGAAGGGCAAAUCAAGGGAGCCAAUAGGCACAAUUUAAAAAAAAAUUCAGUUGCUAUGCCAGGUUUCACCACAAGAUGUCCCCAGCAGAUCACAAAAUCUUUUCCCAAAAGCCGAAUAGCCAUUUAUUAUUUUAAAAAAAAAACAAAUAUUUUCCAAAGUUAAUAAUUAAGAAAGAUGUUAAGUCUCUAUAAUAGGAAGUUAUCCACAAAGCAAAGAUCCAGUUAUUUAGUUGUUAAGGUUAGUUGUUCUUUUCUUGUCUUUUGUUUCCAAGAUUUAAGUUCCCAAGUAUGCAAACGCUGCUGUAUUGAGAGUGAGGAAGAAAAUUUCAAGGAGCUUUCACAGGAAGGUGAUUAGGGAAAGAAAAAGUAUCUCAGAUUCCACAAGGUUGAAGUGUACAGGGAGUUCUUCAGUUUUAUUGUUGAUGAUGAAUAUCCUUAAAUAUGUCCCUGUUGGCCAAGGAAUUUCAGUUGACAAGGUCCAGGAGAAGAGCGUUCUCUGUCGCAACAUCUGCUGUCUGGAACACUAUAACCCCAAAGGUGGAAAGGCUGAACACUACCCAAAAUGGAAGAAUAUUGAUGAAGAUGAAAGAACUUGCAAAGAUGGCUAAAUUAACUUUUUUUAAUUAGAGAAAAGUAUGUACAAAAAUAUUGCUGGCAGGGAAAACAUGGUGAAAAAAGGAAGAUUUGAAUUUGAAGAGCAACGUACCGUGGUCUUGGCACCUCAGUGGCUAAGAAGAGGAACUUAGACAUGCUACUGGAACAUAACUCUGCUGAGGCAAUCUUCUCCUUGAUGGGGAAAAAAAGUCUCAAGUCCAAGGCAUUCAUUAAGUAGUCAGGCAGAGUCCCCACAGAAAAGGUCUUUCUCUGCAUCACCUCUAGCUGACAAGCAGCAAGCUGUGGCAUGGAGAUCAGAAGUAUCCUGGGACUGCAGCUGUCUAGGCAAAUUUUAUAGAUGUAGCUGUAGUCAUUGGCAAACAGGUUUUGAAUUUGUCAUAGCUUUAUGUAGUAAUUGCAGCACAUUAAAUAUAGUUGAGUGGACAUUUUUUUUCCUUUCAGGUUCAGCUCACCUCCCAGUGAUUACAUGGGUAUAUCUGUGCAAUCUUGUUGUCUAACAAUGUGGAAGAGAUCUACCAUUGCCUUCUUUCUGAAUGUUUUCUUCUCCAGUCUGGUCUACAUUGCUGGAAUUUCCUAAUGAUCUCCUGUCCAAUAUGGCCAAGGAAGACUACUGUUGUGACAGCAACCUAGCAACCAUAAAUAUUAUACAUGCACAUUAUGACAUUAUAGGCAGUAUCUUAGGCCCAAACCAGACCCAAGAACAGCCUUAUAUAGAGCACAUUGUGUGAGUCCAUCCUGAGGUUAGCAAUGUAUGAUUCACUGUGGCCAACUUGUCUUGUCUAGAAUGAGCACAAUUGAAGAAUUAGCCUCAAAUGGUGCGAAGUGUUUCUAAGCUACAUAUGUCAUCUGUACCAGCUUUGCAAAAAGUUCUUUUGGCUGCAUGUGGGCCAAAAAGAGCUUGGAGGGAGUUCCAUACUUUCCCCAUUCCCAUGGUGAGGAUGACAUUUUAGCUCACAGGUGUGGUGGUGUUUUUUUUUUGUUUUUUUUUUUUAAGUGUAGCCUCUUAUCAGCAGAGGGAGCCAUAACACUAAAAAAUGUCUCCUAUCUGUUGAUGGGGAGGAAAUUGAUAGAGAGAGAUUUUGCUACCAAUACAAAGCCAUUAAAAUGAGACAAAAUGUUAAAAUAAAAACAAUACAGGAACAUGUAAUAUUUAGGAAAAAAAAUGAAAAGUGGCCCUGCUCUUGUUUGAUCUGUGGCUAUUGGCAUGGUCCAGGGUUGCAGAAAACACCAGAUUGUGAAAUAAGUAAAUAAAUAAAUAAAUGGGUAAACUAGAUGCAACUCCAUCUGGAGCUAGCAAUUCCCCUAGGUUCUGAGUCUAGUGUUGUGAUUCAGUGAGUUGACUACUGGACAAUUGAAGUCCACAAUAUAUCCACAAAAUAGGAGGGAAAAGAUUGCUAUUCAUAAUGUGAUUAAAAAUACACUUUUAUUUCACUUUCGCUUUCUAUAGUACAUCUCAAGUUUCAUCCUAAAUUCUUUAGAUAGUGCCAUCUGAAAAACUGUGAGAAAUGACCAUUACCACUACCACCAUCCCAAGAGUAAACCUCCCAAAUGAGUUCAGGUCUUCCCAAAGUACAUGGUUCAUUUCUGCAAAAAUGAAUAUGUACAGACAAUAGAUCCACUUCUGUUUGCAAGGAUACUAAUGCUUGCUUGUGGGAAUAGUCAGUGUAGUACAAGAGCAAUUCAGAAAUAAACCUCUGUUUGGUUAUCAGUGACAGACACUCGCAGAUACAUAACAUUUAUUAUACACAUUAGAAGACUACAACAUUAUAUUUUGAAAUAAUCGCCAUUCAAAUUGAGGGUCUUGUCAUAACGUCUUACAAGGUUUGAAAUUCCUUAGUAGUAGUCAAUCGGCGCCAAAUGUGGGCUAUGGGGGGGAUGAUCAAAAACAUCCCAACAGAACUGCUUCAAAAGUUCUUAGGCAUGUCUAGUGGUAUGCAGGCAAGCAUUAUUGUGAACAACAUCACACCAGAAGUGGUACCAUAGAAAAUCCCGCCAAAUGUGAAGAUGCAAAGGAGUUCUGCUAGUGAAGUUCAUGGAGUGUGGUUCGACCAUCAGUUCAGAAGUCUACUGUGAAACAUUAUGAAAACUCAGACGAGCCAUCCAU